rnacentral:lncRNA from 10 species
GCCUCGAAGGCUUUUGGUCUGAGCAUCAGGAAGGAGAAAGCUGCCAGCCGGGGGUGGGGAGAAUGCGGUGGUGGGGGAAGCGGGUUGGGGUGCUGUGGGGAGCGGGAGCUGGAACGGCUGAGAUGCUUGUUAUACAUCCAAGUGGAGUGUCAUGUGGGCGGCUGAGGAGAGGCCUGGCUGGGGGAGGGAGGACAGUCAGGCGUCUGUUUGGGUGUGGACAGUACAGACAGCAUCUAACGGCUUGAGACUGGAUGAAAUCAGGAGGGGUGAAAGCUGGUGCCCCUUUCAGCAUCUGGGCUGAGGACAAGGGAGAGAGAAGGGAGGGCAUCUCAAGGGACAUCCUGGAGGUGGUCUGGACCUCAAUAGCCAGAGGGUGGGGGGCUUGAGGAUGCAGGAGGAGGGGCAGGCUAGGGGUGGGAGAGGUCUGUCUCCCAGGGUGGAGGCAAGGGAGGGGAGAAAGGCCAAGGACAGACCCCUGGGUGGGGCUUCUUUGAGGGUGGCCCCAGGAGGAGGAAGUGGAACCUUGAAGGGGACAGUGAUGGAGUGGGCAGGGAGGUGACAGGAAAUCUGGGUGGGCGUUUCAGGAGCCAGGAGUAUGGGCACAUGUUUUAAGAAGAGAAAGAAAAAAGGGUCUGUGCUUUGGAAUGGUGUUGAGGAGUGGAGGCAGGGGUGGCAGUGAAGUGCCCCAGACAUAACAGCAGAGAGGUGAUCAGUGGCCUCGGUGGGAUGUUGGGGCAGGGGUUAGAUCCCAGGAAUUAAGGGGAUGGGGAGGAGGGGGUUAAUGGAGGCAGUGGGUGGAGACCGUGCUUUCCAGAGCCGAGGGCAGAGGCUGGAGGUGUGGGGGUGUGGGGCUAUUGAGAGAGGGGUCCUGUGGGAUGGGAAAGACUCAAGCAGCUGGUUUGAUGCCCAGAGGCAGCAGUAGGCGGUGGGGGAAGGCUGAGAAGCCAGGGAGGCCAGGCAGAAUGUCGGCAGGGGCAGAGGCAGGAGUGGAGGGAGCGUCAGCCGCUUUGAUAGAUAACUGAUGAGACCAUGUGGUGAGAAACCCAUAGAACACAGGGGAAGGCCUCCAGGUAGGGCAGGCCUGCAGGCACAGAGGUGGAAGCAGGAGUGUACGGGGGCAGGUGGGUGGCCUUGGCAAAGUCAUGGAGGCAGGGAAGCCUGUGGGACUUUGGGGAGCAGGAUGAGAGGGGCCCAGAAGAGAGAGGCUGGGGCCUGACCAUGGAGACCAGCCUGCCAGGCAUGGGCAUCUGUGAGUUGCUCAGCAGGCUUUGGGUGCUGCUGGAAUCUUGGCCAAGCUCUGCCUGAUGGAAGAUGCCCACUGUCCCUGCGUCUACCUCCUGCUUGGG